rnacentral:lncRNA from 1 species
GGGAGGCAGAGUCGGGCGUCCGCGUCCUCCCGGCCAGCUCGACCGUCUUCUCUAUUGGGAGUCUCUGGUACUCAGGCUGGAGUGCGGUGGUGUGAUCUUGGCUCACUGUAAACUCAAGCUCCUGAACUCAAGCAAUUCUCCUGCCUUGGCCUCCCAAAGUGCUGGGAUUGCAGGUGUGAACUGCCACACCUGGCUCCCCGACUAUUCCUGUAUCAGAAAUGUAACUCACCCACUCACCACCAGCCCACACUCUGGGUUCUCCUAUCACUCCACUGCCUGCUCCUCGGCUGAUCACAAUGGAAGAAGAGAUCAUGGCACUUGUCAUUGACAAUGGCUCCAGCACAUGCAAAGCUGGCUUUGCUGGGUAUAGUUCCCCGAGCCAUGUUCCCCUCCAUCACUGGGUAUCCCUGGCACCAGGGCAUGAUGGUGGGCAUAGGCCAGAAGGACUCCUACCUGGGUGAUGAGGCCCAGAGCAAGUGCAGCAUCCUGACCCUGAAAGUGCCCCGUGGACCACCGCAUCAUCACCAACUGGGAUGACAUGGAGAAGAUCUGGCACCACACCUUCUACGAUUAGCUGCACGUGGCUCCCAAGGAGCACCCAGUGCUGCUGCCUGAGGCCCCGCUGAACCCCAGGGCCAACAGAAAGAAGAUGACUCGGAUUGAGACCUUCAACACCCCAGCAAGGUACACAGCCAUCCAGGCUGUGCUGUCCCUGUACACCUCUGGUUACACCACUGGUAUUAUCAUACACAGCUGAGACCCACACGGUGCCCGUCUACAAGGGCUAUGCCUUCCCCCAUGCCAUCCUGCGUCUGGAUGACUGGCACCUGACCAACCACCCCAUGGAGAUCUUCAGGGAGCCCAGCUACUGCUUCACCACCACAGCCAAACGGGAGAUCUUGUGCAACAUCAAGGAGAAGCUGCGGAAAUGGCCACCACAGCGUCCUCCUCCUCCCUGGAGAAGAUCUAGGAGCUGUCCAAGUGGUUCCAGUGUCUGGAGGCGCUGUUCCAGGCCUCCUUCCUGGGUAUGGAAUCUUGUGGCAUCCACCAGGCCACCUUCAACUCCAUAAAGUGUGAUGUGCACAUCCGCAAGGACCUGUUUGCCAACAUGGUGCUGUCUGGUGACACCCCCGUGUACCUGGGCAUCACCUACAUGAUGCAGAAGAUCACGACCCUGGUGCCCAGCUCCAAGAAGAUCAUCACCUUCCCUGAGCGCAAGUCCUUGUGUGGAUUGGCAGCACCAUCCUGGCCGCCUUCCAGCAGAUGUGGAUCAUCAAGCAGGAGUAGGAUGAAUCAAGCCCCUGCAUCACCCACUGCAAAUGCUUCUAAAUGGACUGCAAGCAGACGCGUGUCAUGUGCUUCAUGGAUUAAUGCAGAAGUAUAAAUUUGCCCCUGGCAAAUGCAUACACCUCAUGCUAGCCUCAAUAAACCAGAAUAAGCCUUUCAAAAGAACUGGUCCUUGAAGCUUGUAUAUCAGCACCGGAUUGUAGAACUUGGUGCUGAUUUUGACUUUGUUAACCGUUCCCUUGGUAUUUGUUUAAUACCCUGUACAUAUCUUUGAUUUAUACCCUUAGUACAUGUGGCUCAGUAACUUCAUGGCUGAGGUGAGGACAUGCUUGUGGGAGGGAAGUCUGUGGCUUGGUGGGUCUGUGUGACCUGCAGUCUCCUUAUCUGUGCAGGUACUAAGGUGUCAGAGAGCUCAGUGUUCCAGGAUUUUCCUUUUUUU